rnacentral:ncRNA from 2 species
GAAUAGCCGAGCCGCGACGGUUCCCUUCGGGGAUCAAAAGGGAACGCGGUGAGGGGUUCGCUCCGAUGCCGCGGCUGCCCCCGCAACUGUAAGCGGCGAGCUCUCCACCACCACGUCACUGGGUCAUCCACCCGGGAAGACGGUGAGAGGGCGGUGACCCGCGAGCCAGGAGACCUGCCGUCAGCCGUGGUCACAC